rnacentral:rRNA from 1 species
GUGCCAGCCGGCGCGGUAAUACCGGCAGCCCAAGUGAUGGCCGCUGUUAUUGGGCCUAAAGCGUCCGUAGCUGGCCGCGCAAGUCCGUCGGGAAAUCCGCCCGCUCAACGGGCGGGCGUCCGGCGGAACCUGUGUGGCUUGGGACCGGGAGGCCUGAGGGGUACGAUCGGGGUAGGAGUGAAAUCCUGUAAUCCCGCUCGGACCGCCGAUGGGGAAAGCACCUCAGGAGAACGGAUCCGACAGUGAGGGACGAAAGCCAGGGUCUCCAACCGGAUUAGAAACUCUGGUAGUCC